rnacentral:rRNA from 1 species
UACGUAGGGUGCGAGCGUUGUCCGGAAUUAUUGGGCGUAAAGAGCUCGUAGGCGGUUUGUCGCGUCGGCCGUGAAAUCUCCACGCUUAACGUGGAGCGUGCGGUCGAUACGGGCAGACUUGAGUUCGGUAGGGGAGACUGGAAUUCCUGGUGUAGCGGUGAAAUGCGCAGAUAUCAGGAGGAACACCGGUGGCGAAGGCGGGUCUCUGGGCCGAUAUUGACGCUGGAGGAGCGAAAGCGUGGGGAGCGAACAGG